AAAUAACAUAUUAAAAAUCCGGAAUAACAUAAAAAAAAAGCGCCGGACAAAGUGUGGUUUAAUAAUUGUUAAUAUUAGAAUCACAAAAGCAUUUAAAGUUUUCAUUUUUGGAAAGAAGUAAGAAAAUAUUCUUUUGUGUAAGCGCUAUAAGUCUCGAACCCAGUACAUCUGUGACGUACAAUCCUGUAUGACGUCGAAAGCUUCUCCAAUGUUCUCAUUUGAUAUGAAUUGUUUGUAGCAUUUGCAUUGUUUAAACACCAUUGGAUGGUUGUGUCGUACAAUCGGGUCAAAUUGCUGUCGGUGAUUUUAACGGAGAUGCGAUGUCCGAUAUUGUGUGUGUCGACCGUGUGAAAAAGAAAACCACAGUUCGUUUAUCGAACAACGGACAAUUUCCAACUGGAGAAGGUUACUCUGGUUCAUU